UGAUUAUUGAAAGGUGCUUGCAUCUUGAUUUAAUUUUGAACGAGUGGCGGACGGGUGAGUAACACGUGGGUAACCUGCCCUUAAGUGGGGGAUAACAUUUGGAAACAGAUGCUAAUACCGCAUAAAUCCAAGAACCGCAUGGUUCUUGGCUGAAAGAUGGCGUAAGCUAUCGCUUUUGGAUGGACCCGCGGCGUAUUAGCUAGUUGGUGAGGUAACGGCUCACCAAGGCAAUGAUACGUAGCCGAACUGAGAGGUUGAUCGGCCACAUUGGGACUGAGACACGGCCCAAACUCCUACGGGAGGCAGCAGUAGGGAAUCUUCCACAAUGGACGCAAGUCUGAUGGAGCAACGCCGCGUGAGUGAAGAAGGCUUUCGGGUCGUAAAACUCUGUUGUUGGAGAAGAAUGGUCGGCAGAGUAACUGUUGUCGGCGUGACGGUAUCCAACCAGAAAGCCACGGCUAACUACGUGCCAGCAGCCGCGGUAAUACGUAGGUGGCAAGCGUUAUCCGGAUUUAUUGGGCGUAAAGCGAGCGCAGGCGGUUUUUUAAGUCUGAUGUGAAAGCCCUCGGCUUAACCGAGGAAGUGCAUCGGAAACUGGGAAACUUGAGUGCAGAAGAGGACAGUGGAACUCCAUGUGUAGCGGUGAAAUGCGUAGAUAUAUGGAAGAACACCAGUGGCGAAGGCGGCUGUCUGGUCUGUAACUGACGCUGAGGCUCGAAAGCAUGGGUAGCGAACAGGAUUAGAUACCCUGGUAGUCCAUGCCGUAAACGAUGAAUGCUAGGUGUUGGAGGGUUUCCGCCCUUCAGUGCCGCAGCUAACGCAUUAAGCAUUCCGCCUGGGGAGUACGACCGCAAGGUUGAAACUCAAAGGAAUUGACGGGGGCCCGCACAAGCGGUGGAGCAUGUGGUUUAAUUCGAAGCAACGCGAAGAACCUUACCAGGUCUUGACAUCUUUUGAUCACCUGAGAGAUCAGGUUUCCCCUUCGGGGGCAAAAUGACAGGUGGUGCAUGGUUGUCGUCAGCUCGUGUCGUGAGAUGUUGGGUUAAGUCCCGCAACGAGCGCAACCCUUAUGACUAGUUGCCAGCAUUUAGUUGGGCACUCUAGUAAGACUGCCGGUGACAAACCGGAGGAAGGUGGGGAUGACGUCAAAUCAUCAUGCCCCUUAUGACCUGGGCUACACACGUGCUACAAUGGAUGGUACAACGAGUUGCGAGACCGCGAGGUCAAGCUAAUCUCUUAAAGCCAUUCUCAGUUCGGACUGUAGGCUGCAACUCGCCUACACGAAGUCGGAAUCGCUAGUAAUCGCGGAUCAGCACGCCGCGGUGAAUACGUUCCCGGGCCUUGUACACACCGCCCGUCACACCAUGAGAGUUUGUAACACCCGAAGCCGGUGGCGUAACCCUUUU
rnacentral:rRNA from 2 species